CACUGAGAAGCUAAACAGGACCUUAGCGUUAGCCUUUUAAGCUAAAAAUUGGUGCUUUCCGACCACCCUUAGUGA
rnacentral:tRNA from 1 species